rnacentral:rRNA from 1 species
UGUCUAGGGGCUCAAACCUAAAGAACCCAAAUAUCUAAACGGAGAAAUUCAAUACUAUAUACGUAUAGUGUGCACUUUUCUCUUAGUAAGACGCCGUGAUCCAUUAGAAAUUGAUGUAUACAAAAUACAUAUUGGGUCAUCAAUAGGCCAACAUGAAGUUUAUCGGAACAAAUGGCGAGAUCUUUGUACGGUGUUGUGUAUUGUCUGGUAAGCAUGUUGUGUACUGUAAUGACUGUCUGAUGGAUUUUAAAGACCAUCAUCAAUGAUGUCAUGGCAUCACUCUGUUCGCAGAGAGACGAUGUGUGUCUGAUCAACGGUGGUUAAAUUUGGGAUACCUUUUGGACCCGUCUUGAAACACGGACCAAGGAGUCUAUCUAGUAUGCGAGUAAAUGGAUAGGUAAUGAAAUCUAUUUGCAUAAUAAACUUGACUGUUUUAAUGGGAAUACGUUAUGAUAUAACCGUAUCAUUUCUUCCUUCCCGGGGUAUUUUCAUCAACAUAUGCUUGCAUAUGGAAAAUAUACCAUGAGCACACUGGAUACGACCCGAAAGAUGGUGAACUAUGCCUGAUCAGGUCGAAGUCAGGGGAAACCCUGAUGGAGGACCGAAGCAGUUCUGACGUGCAAAUCGAUUGUCAGAAUUGGGCAUAGGGGCGAAAGACCAAUCGAACCAUC